GUGGGGAAUAUUGCACAAUGGGCGAAAGCCUGAUGCAGCAACGCCGCGUGAGUGAUGAAGGCCUUCGGGUUGUAAAGCUCUGUCUUCUGGGACGAUAAUGACGGUACCAGAGGAGGAAGCCACGGCUAACUACGUGCCAGCAGCCGCGGUAAUACGUAGGUGGCAAGCGUUGUCCGGAUUUACUGGGCGUAAAGGAUGCGUAGGCGGAUACUUAAGUCAGAUGUGAAAAUCCCGGGCUUAACUUGGGAACUGCAUUUGAAACUGGGUAUCUAGAGUGCGGGAGAGGAAAGUGGAAUUCCUAGUGUAGCGGUGAAAUGCGUAGAGAUUAGGAAGAACACCGGUGGCGAAGGCGACUUUCUGGACCGUAACUGACGCUGAGGCAUGAAAGCGUGGGGA
rnacentral:rRNA from 1 species